rnacentral:tRNA from 1 species
GCAUUAAUGGGGUAGUGGUAACCUGGGUCGUUGCCAUUAGAGAUUAAUCUCGACCCGCCGGGGGUUCGAUUCCCUCUUAAUGCA